UUUCAGCAUGGAAUCAAUUGCCCAUAAUGUAGAUGGCUUAUUAGUUUUAGCAAUCUCAUUAAAAUACGCCAAAAAUAUUGUUUCGGAGAAAAUGUUGACAUUUUUUCUCGUUUUUCCAACUCAUAAAAUUUUCAUUACUUUCAUGUAUUUUUCUUGACUUCGCUGAAAGCAGGUUUUCUAUUGCCAAUUUGGCUUCUGACCUUAAAUCUAGUGGAGUGAAAUUAAUCUCCAUUUUACUCUCUGAACCGUUGAAACUCAUUUUAAUUAUUAUUAAAUUUAUAUUUAUUAAGUAGUUUAAGGCAACGUGUAGGUAUUGU